rnacentral:antisense_RNA from 1 species
CUUCAACGAACCGAGCCACAAGGGCUGUUCGUCCGGGCGGUCCUGACCGUAGGUCGCGAUGAUGGCCUGGGCCUC